rfam:Taeniopygia guttata chromosome 4, whole genome shotgun sequence.
CUUUUACUUUACCAUGGAGGUGCUUUCUGUGACAUAGAAAAAGUAAGUGCUUCCAUGUUUUAGUAGAGG